GAGGACACACUGAUUACACCAUCUUUGUACUUGACUCAUACUUAUUUUAUUAAUUACAGAGGAGAUGAAAAUAAAGUCAGACCCAAGUUACUUGAUGACCUCACCAAUGCAGGCAGUACAAGAAAGGUAUCCGGCCUUAGAAUCAUACUACAGCUGAUAUUGGAACGGCUUGUCAGAUCUUGUCAAGCUGUCCAACCCAUACCAGCACAGGAAAUGGAUGUAAAACAAGGGUACUGAUGAUACAUACAGGGUGGCCCAAAAAACAAAUUGUCAUAAAAGGUGCAAUUUUGGUGACUAUGACAUGAUUGUAAAUUGGUUUUCAAGUCAGCCAGAUGGAUGACAUAGAAAGCAGACAUGCUGCCAGGCCAUGCUGCUUUGCGCAGGAUUGGAAAGGUGAAACAUCAACAGGGCACUUCUGGAGAACAGAUGAAUUGAUUUUUUGUGCCUUUAUUCAGCGAUACACACAUACAUAUAGCUCAGUGGUGCACAGG